rnacentral:rRNA from 1 species
GACGAACGCUGGAGGCGUGCUUAACACAUGCAAGUCGAACGAUGAAAUGGAGCUUGCUCCAUGGAUUAGUGGCGAACGGGUGAGUAACACGUGAACAACCUGCCCUUAAUUUUGGAAUAACCCAGGGAAACCUGGGCUAAUACCGGAUAAGUAAACCUGUGGCAUCACAUGGUUUUGGAAAGUUUUUCGAUUAAGGAUGGAUUCGCGGCCUAUCAGCUUGUUGGUGAGGUAAUGGCUCACCAAGGCGACGACGGGUAGCCGGCCUGAGAGGGUGAACGGCCACACUGGGACUGAGACACGGCCCAGACUCCUACGGGAGGCAGCAGUGGGGAAUAUUGCGCAAUGGACGAAAGUCUGACGCAGCGACGCCUCGUGAGGGACGAAGGUCUUCGGAUUGUAGACCUCUUUCAGCAGGGACGAAGCGAAAGUGACGGUACCUGCAGAAGAAGCACCGGCUAACUAUGUGCCAGCCGCCGCAGUAA